CACGUAGGGUGCGAGCGUUGUCCGGAAUUAUUGGGCGUAAAGAGCUCGUAGGCGGUGUGUCGCGUCGGCCGUGAAAACCUGCAGCUUAACUGUGGGCUUGCGGUCGAUACGGGCAUCACUGGAGUUCGGCAGGGGAGACUGGAAUUCCUGGUGUAGCGGUGAAAUGCGCAGAUAUCAGGAGUUUUUUUUUUUUUUUUGUUUUUUCUCUGGGCCGAUACUGACGCUGAGGAGCGAAAGCGUGGGGAGCGAACAGG
rnacentral:rRNA from 1 species